GACGAACGCUGGCGGCGUGCUUAACACAUGCAAGUCGAACGGAAAGGCCCUGCUUUUGUGGGGUUCCCGAGUGGCGAACGGGUGAGUAACACGUGAGUAACCUGCUCUUGAUUUUGGGAUAACUUCAGGAAACUGGGGCUAAUACCGGAUAGGAGCUCCUCUUGCAUGGUGGGGGUUGGAAAGUUUCGGCGGUUGGGGAUGGACUGGCGGCUUAUCAGCUUGUUGGUGGGGUAGUGGCUUACCAAGGCUUUGACGGGUAGCCGGCCUGAGAGGGUGACCGGGGACAUGAGGACUGAGAGACGGAGCAGACGCGUACAGGAGACAGCAGGGGGGAGUAUGGCCCAAUGAGCGGGAGCCUGAGACAAAGACGCCCGGGUCGGAAAGACGGCCUUCGGGGUGUGAAACGCUUUCGCCUGUGACGAAGCGUGAGUGACGGUAAUGAGUAAAGAAGCACCGGCUAACUACGUG
rnacentral:rRNA from 1 species